ACGUAUUUCCAUUGCAGGGAUUCUUAGCAGUUUUCUGAGGCCUUCUAAGUAUUUAUAUCGAUAUCGGAAUUAUAUCGUAUCGACCGAAAUUAAGGAAUAUAUCGUGAUAUGAAUUUUGGCCAUAUCGUCCAGCACUAAGUACAGGGUAGUAUAGGCACUAUAAGGUAGUAUAGGGACUAUAGUUGGUGCAAAUAAUAUAGGGAGUAUGAGGAUUAUAUGGGAAGUAUAGUGUAGUAUAGGAAGUAUAAAUUGUUAUUGGGCAGUAUAUGAAGGAUAGGGUAGUAUAUGGAGUACAGGGUAGUAUGGGGAGUACAGUGUAGUGUAGGACAAAUGGGGUAAUAUGAGGGUUUAGGUCAUUAUUGGAAGUAUACGGAAGUGUAGAACAGUAUAGGGAGUACAGGGUAGUAUGGGGAGUAUAGUGUAGAAUAGGAAGUACGGGGUAGUAUAGGGAGUAUAGGGUAUUAUAUGAAGUAUACAGUACUAUAGGUCAGUAUAGGGAGUACAGGGUAGUAUGGGGAGUAUAAUAAAGGAGAUACAUGGUAGUAUAGGGAAUUUAAGGAAGUAUACAGUACUCUAGGGCAGGAUAGUAUGGGGAUUAUAGUGUAGUGUAGGAAGUGUGGGGUAUUAUAAAACAGUAUAGGGCCUACAUGGUUGUAUGAGUAGUAUAAGAAGUAUAUGGGGAGUGUAGUGUAGUAUAGGGGGAUAUAGGGUACAAUAGGAAGUAUAGGGUGGUAUAGGGAAACUAAUGCAGUAUAGGUAGUAAGGAGGGAGUAUAGGGUAGCAUAUGCACUGUAAGGUAGUAUAGGGACUAUAGGUACUAUAAGGUAGUAUACGGAGUAUGAGGAGUAUAUGGGGAGUAUAUUGUAACAUAGGAAAUAUAGCUAGGCUAGGGCGGUAUAUGGGGAGUAUAGGGUGGUAUUGGGCACUAUAUGAUAGAUAGGGCAGUAUCAGGAGAAUAAGGCAGUAUAGGGAGUAUGAGGAGUAUAUGGACAGUAUAGGAGAACUAAUGCAGUAUAGGGAGUAAAGGGCAGUGUGGGGAGUAUAGUGUAGUAUAAGCACUGUAAGGUAGUAUAGGUACUAUAAGGUACUAUAAGGUAGUAUAGGGAGUAUGAGGAGUAUAUGGACAGUAUAGUGUAGUAUAGGAAGUAUAGGGUAGCAUUGGGCAGUAUAUAAAGGAUAGAGCAGUAUAGGGUAGUAUAGGCUGUAUAAGGUUAUAUAGGGACUAAAGGUACUAUAAGGUAGUAUAGGGAGUAUGAGGAAUAUAUAGGAUAGGGUAGUGUAUGGGAAGUAUAGGGUAGUAUAGGAAGUAUAAGAUGGUAUAGAGCAGUAUAUAAAGGAUAGGGCAGUGUAGUAUAUAGUGUAGUAUAGAAAGUAAAAGUAAAUACAUGGCGUAUGGGGUAUUAUAGAAAUAGUAUAUGGUAGUAUUAGGGAGAAUAGUAGAGAAUAUGACAGUAUAGAGAGUAGGUGGUACUAUGGUGAGUAUAGUUUAGUAUAGGAGCUAUAAGGCAGUGUAGUAUAGUAUUCUAUACUACUUCAUAACACCUCAUCCUAGCAUAAAUCUUAAGCAAUAUUUGGAUACAGUAUGUAAUAUUGCUUUAAAAUGCAAUUAAUUUGUGUAAUUUGAUCAUACAACAGAAUAUAUGUAUACUAACCAUUUGUUAAGCAUCUGAUAUAUAUGUAUACGGUAUGUUUUUACCAUAUAUCAUAUAUUAAGCACCCCUGCAGUGAGAAAUGGUGAUCUGGCACAGUCAGUGCGAUGCUGCUAGUAUAUAAUAUCUGCAGUAAAGACUCAGAUCUUGGUCUGGAUCAGAUUCAGCAGGUAGCUGGAGCGUCAGGUUGUAUCUCUGAAGGCUUUCCUCAGUGUAAACAUGUGUUCAGCAGCGUGGGCGGGUGCAGGCACCUCGCGCUCUGUGUGGCAUUAUUAAUAAAGUCCACCCUUUAAAAGCUGACCUGCCCCUUUAAACCAGAAAUAGCUGCUGGUGUGGAGCGGGAGCCGGCGGGGGGAGGGGCAUCGCAGGGCUGAUAAUAGUGAGGCAGGCUGGAGCUUUUUAGCUUUUUAACCCUGACACAGCUGGAAAGGAGGGGCAUUUACAUUUACACACACACACACACACACACACACACACUCGCAGCGGUAAAAUGCCACUAAGAGUAAAAGGGUACUGGAACCUGGCCUUCCAGGAGUACGCUCUAUUUUAUACUCAUUUACGCUCAUUUAUACUAAUAUUAUUAUUUUUAUUAAUAAUAAUGAUAAUAAAACCUAUACAUGAUCAUACACAGGGGUGGAAUUAUAUAAAUGAAUGGUUGUGAAUCAGCCAAAACAUUAAAACCACUUCACUAGGUGGAUCAAACUAAAUCAAUUCAAAUUUCAUUUAUUUUAGAGAACCUAGACUCACAGAGAGGACCCACCCUUUUCCGGUCCAAAUUAUUCGAUUGCUUAUUUAUUUAUUUAUUUGCUGUUAUUUAUUCAUUAUUCAGUAAAAACAGACUAUUUGAGCACUUUUUUUUUUUUU